CCGAGUGUGAGAUCAGGACGUAGCUUGUGCUGCGUCGUGGAUCGACCCCUCCACCCGUGUUGACUUUAUCACCUGUUGCUUUGGCAGACCGGGGCCGCGCACGCCACGUGUGUGGUGUUGGUCCCGCUGGCUACGGCUGGAGCGCGUCUGCCAGAGACGUAUAGACAACCUAACUCAAGUUUUACCUGUAGUCUGAGACAAAGAUUUAUUCAAAAUUGAUA
rnacentral:misc_RNA from 1 species